UACAUAGGUCUCAAGCGUUGUUCGGAUUCAUUGGGCGUAAAGGGUGCGUAGGCGGCGCGGUAAGUCGGGUGUGAAAUCUUGGAGCUUAACUCCGAAACUGCAUUCGAUACUGCCGUGCUUGAGGACUGGAGAGGAGACUGGAAUUUACGGUGUAGCGGUGAAAUGCGUAGAUAUCGUAAGGAAGACCAGUGGCGAAGGCGGGUCUCUGGACAGUACCUGACGCUGAGGCACGAAGGCCAGGGGAGCAAACGGG
rnacentral:rRNA from 1 species